rnacentral:rRNA from 1 species
GUUCCCUACGGGACGCAGCAGUGGGGGAUAUUGCACAAUGGGGGGAACCCUGAUGCAGCGACGCCGCGUGAGUGAAGAAGUAUUUCGGUAUGUAAAGCUCUGUCAGCAGGGAAGAAGAAAGACGGUACCUGACCAAGAAGCCCCGGCUAACUACGUGCCAGCAGCCGCGGUAAUACGUAGGGGGCAAUCGUUAUCCGGAUUUACUGGGUGUAAAGGGAGCGUAGACGGCAGGGCAAGUCUGGAGUGAAAGGCAGGGGCCUAACACCUGGACUGCUCUGGAAACUGUCCGGCU